CAGUUAUGCAACUGACUAGAUAUCCCCCCUUUCUCUUUCCCUCUCUCAUACAGACUCUGUUGCCAAUUGAAUAAAGCGUGACUUUGUCAACCGUAUCUCUCCCACAGCUUCCUGGACAAAAUGGCAACAGAGUGCGGGGUGAGUGUAAAAACAGGAAGUGGACGAGGCGCUGGUGGGCAGACUGCGUUCACAUUUUGCCACCUGGAGACAGACACGUGCUCAUCAGGACAUUGCUCAACACACAGAACCCAUGGUACAAGCUAGAUUGUCUCCCCCAGUCAGGAAGGCAGCCUGGCUGUUUCCUUCCUCCCGGUUUUGAUGACUGCCUGCCUCUGCUCUGAACCCGCCUGCCUGACCAUACUGCCCGUCCUGACCUCGAGCCUGCCUGCUUGCCAUCCUGUAGCUCCUGGACUCUGACCUUGUUAUGAUCAUUUUCCUGUCCAUGAUAUUUGCCUGCCCCUUGGAUUAUAAUAAAUAGAGACUCGAA